CUUACAGAGGGCUUUCAAUCAUGGAUGUGGAGGGGGCUUACAUUUCUCCUUCCAUUUCUAUUCUUUGGCCAUUUUUGGCAGCUGUACAAUGCUGUGACUCUCUUUAAGCUAUCUGCCCGUGAUGACUGCAAGGAAUGGCAGGUGUUCAUGUUGGCCUUGACAUUUCUCGUCCUGUUCUUGGGAAAUUUCCUCACUACUUUAAAAGUGGUCCACCAGAAGCUCCAGAAAAACAAAGAAAAGGUCAAAAAUAACUGAUGAGACACCAACUGGAAGAUUUCAUACG